rnacentral:lncRNA from 1 species
UUUGAGUGAAAAAUAUUGCAUCCAAUGCGUGGUAUUUAUAGAGACGGUAAAAACAUGUCGGCGCUUGAGGGAUUGACGCCCACAUGACCAUCACAUGCAGCCAGAUGAAUUAGCGCCCACACAACCAAAUGCACCUAGGCGCCACUAGCAUUGACGCCUCCUCAUGAGGCCCAAUGCAGGUGCCACUAGUAUUGGCGCCUCCUCACGAGGAGCGCAAUGCAUGCGCCAAUGCUAGUGGCGCCUCCUCGUGAGGAGCGCAAUGCAUGCGCCAAUGCU